rnacentral:rRNA from 1 species
UACGAAGGGGGCUAGCGAUGUUCGGAAUCACUGGGCGUAAAGCGCACGUAGGCGGAUCUUUAAGUCAGGGGUGAAAUCCCGAGGCUCAACCUCGGAACUGCCUUUGAUACUGGGGAUCUCGAGUCCGGGAGAGGUGAGUGGAACUGCGAGUGUAGAGGUGAAAUUCGUAGAUAUUCGCAAGAACGCCAGUGGCGAAGGCGGCUCACUGGCCCGGAACUGACGCUGAGGUGCGAAAGCGUGGGGAGCGAACAGG